rnacentral:rRNA from 1 species
UACGGAGGGUGCAAGCGUUAUCCGGAUUCACUGGGUUUAAAGGGUGCGUAGGUGGGUAUGUAAGUCAGUGGUGAAAUCCCCGAGCUUAACUUGGGAACUGCCGUUGAUACUAUAUAUCUUGAAUAUCGCGUAGGUAAGCGGAAUAUGUCAUGUAGCGGUGAAAUGCUUAGAUAUGACAUAGAACACCAAUUGCGAAAGGCAGCUUACUUCACGAUUAUUGACACUGAGGCACGAAAGCGUGGGGAGCAAACAGG